rnacentral:rRNA from 1 species
CCUACGGUGUGCAGCAGUGGGGGAUAUUGCACAAUGGGGGGAACCCUGAUGCAGCGACGCCGCGUGGGUGAAGGAGCGUUUCGGCGCGUAAAGCCCUAUCGGCAGGGAAGAAGGAGGCCGUUACCUGACUAAGAAGCCCCGGCUAACUACGUGCCAGCAGCCGCGGUAAUACGUAGGGGGCAAGCGUUGUCCGGAUUUACUGGGUGUAAAGGGCGUGUAGCCGGGCUGACAAGUCAGAUGGGAAGUUCAGGGGCUCAACCCCGGACCUGCAUUUGAAACUGUUGGUCUUGAGUAUCGGAGAGGCAGGCGGAAUGCCUAGUGUAGCGGUGAAAUGCGUAGAUAUUAGGAGGAACACCAGUGGCGAAGGCGGCCUGCUGGACGACAACUGACGGUGAGGCGCGAAAGCGUGGGGAGCAAACAGGAUUAGAUACCCGAGUAGUC